GAGGCGGCCGGCAGAGCCGAGCGCCCGGGUAGCCCCGCGCGGGAGGCCCCCGGGACCGCGUCUGCUACGGGGCCGCGCUCCGUGCGCCUCUCGCGGAUUCCCUGUAAGGAGCGCCUGCUGGUGUGCCAGACCUACCGGGGGCUGUCUACCCGACUGCCCCAGACUCCGGCAACGGGGCCCCCGAUGGCAGUGGGCACCUCCCCGUGAAACCUGCCAAGCUGGACGCCACAGCUCCGCACGACGACACUUUGGCCAACUCUUUGCCCCCUUUGGAGGCGUGCAACCAUGCAGUCCUAGCCUGCAGCCCGGGCAUCCCUGAGGAGCACUAUGUAAGCGAGGCUGUGGAAGAUGCUCCCAGCUGCAGAGGGUACCGGGAUGCCUGCACCAUCACCGGAGAAGGUCUCCUUGUACCUGCCUCACUGGCUUGCCGUGAGGAUUCACCGAGUUACUACACGCCGAGUGCUGAG